rnacentral:rRNA from 1 species
CGGCGGACGGCUGAGUAACGCGUAGGAAUAUACCCCAAAGUGAGGGAUAACUGCCCGAAAGGGUGGCUAAUACCGCAUGUGGUCUUUUGAUUAAAGCUUUUAGCGCUUUGGGAAUAGCCUGCGUUCGAUUAGCUUGUUGGUGAGGUAAUGGCUCACCAAGGCGACGGUCGAUAGCUGGUCUGAGAGGAUGACCAGCCAGACUGGAACUGAGACACGGUCCAGACUCCUACGGGAGGCAGCAGUCGGGAAUUUUCCACAAUGGGCGAAAGCCUGAUGGAGCAACGCCGCGUGCAGGAUGAAGGCCUUCGGGUUGUAAACUGCUUUUAUGUGCGAAGAAUAUGACGGUAACACAUGAAUAAGGGUCGGCUAACUACGUGCCAGCAGCCGCGGUCAUACGUAGGACCCAAGCGUUAUCCGGAUUUACUGGGCGUAAAGAGUUGCGUAGGUGGCAUAGUAAGUGGAGCGUGAAAGCGUGUGGCUCAACCAUACAGCUGCGUUCUAAACUACUAAGCUUGAGUAUGAGAGGGGUAGAUGGAAUUUCUAGUGUAGGGGUAAAAUCCGUAGAUAUUAGAACGAACACCGAUAGCGUAGGCAGUCUACUGGCUCAUUACUGACACUAAGGCACGAAAGCGUGGGGAGCAAACAGGAUUAGAUACCCUGGUAGUCCACGCCGUAAACUAUGGAUGCUAGCUUUUACUCACAUCGACCUGAGUAGAAGCGUAGCUACGCGUUAAGCAUCCCGCCUGGGGAGUACGGUCGCAAGAUUAAAACUCAAAGGAAUUGACGGGGACCCGCACAAGCGGUGGAGCGUGUUGUUUAAUUCG